rnacentral:rRNA from 1 species
GAUGAACGCUAGCUACAGGCUUAACACAUGCAAGUCGAGGGACCGGCGCACGGGUGAGUAACACGUAUCCAACCUGCCCUUUACUCGGGGAUAGCCUUUCGAAAGAAAGAUUAAUACCCGAUGUAAAGGAUGGGGAUGCGUUCCAUUAGGUUGUUGGUGAGGUAACGGCUAACCAAGCCUUCGAUGGAUAGGGGUUCUGAGAGGAAUGUCCCCCACAUUGGAACUCAGACCCGGUCCAAACGCCUACGGGAGGCAGCUGUGAGGAAUAUUGGGCAAUGGGCGUUAGACUGAAACAGCCAAGUAGCGGGAAGGAUGAAGGCUUAUGGGUCGUUAACUUCUUUUAUAUAAGAAUAUGUAUUAUAUGAAUAAGGCACGGCGAACUCCGUGCCAGCAGCCGCGGUAAUAC